rnacentral:rRNA from 1 species
GAUGAACGCUGGCGGCGUGCCUAAUACAUGCAAGUCGACCGAACAGACGAGGAGCUUGCUCCUCUGACGUUAGCGGCGGACGGGUGAGUAACACGUGGAUAACCUACCUAUAAGACUGGGAUAACUUCGGGAAACCGGAGCUAAUACCGGAUAAUAUAUUGAACCGCAUGGUUCAAUAGUGAAAGACGGUUUUGCUGUCACUUAUAGAUGGAUCCGCGCCGCAUUAGCUAGUUGGUAAGGUAACGGCUUACCAAGGCGACGAUGCGUAGCCGACCUGAGAGGGUGAUCGGCCACACUGGAACUGAGACACGGUCCAGACUCCUACGGGAGGCAGCAGUAGGGAAUCUUCCGCAAUGGGCGAAAGCCUGACGGAGCAACGCCGCGUGAGUGAUGAAGGUCUUCGGAUCGUAAAACUCUGUUAUUAGGGAAGAACAAAUGUGUAAGUAACUAUGCACGUCUUGACGGUACCUAAUCAGAAAGCCACGGCUAACUACGUG